UAGAGAAAACACAUCGAAACGAUGGCGAACAUUUUGACACCUAAAGAAGCGGGAAAGUAAUCGGAAACGGUAGAAAUAGACAACUGCGGAUGAGGAUAGACGAAAAAGUACGAAGUAUUUUUUGGUAUAUGUCCAAUUGAAAAUUGUACACACCGUAACUUGUUUCAUGAGUGACUUCCACUGGAAAACAUAAUUCUAUACUUCACGACGAUUCUGUUUCUUUUUUCUAUGUACGGCAUAAUAUAUUAUAAAAGUGAAUGUCUCUCUAAAUCGAAGAUUUGAAGACGUAAUAGAUGAGAGUCAGGCAAACAGCCACAUGAAGGGCAGAAGAAAUGAUAAAAAUAAUACAAAAUAUAUAUUUCGUUAUGUUCCGCUCAAGUGUAUAGUUUAGUCAAUUAAUUGAUUGUUUUAAAAAAACAGGAAGUUAAAUAUCUCAGAGGUGCCUAGUGAUACUUUAGGUUUUUUAUGUUUAAUUAAAAUUCGUACGUAAGUGUGAUAUUCAAAAAAUGUAACUGCAUAAUUAUUUAUCUAUACGUAACGUUUAAAUCAACUUAAGUUUCAUACAAGACAUUAGAACUUCGUCUCAAAUUAUCUUAAUUUAUUGCAUACACAUGUAUGACAUAUGUAAAAUUAGCCUAUCACAAGAAGAAAAAAAUAGCGAUAUCCGCAAUGUACAAAAAAGUAAACGUAUAUAUUGCGAUGCGUCUAUAGACAAGUAUCAUUUUGUUGCUAUUCUUCUAUAAAUGUAUCGUGAUCAACGAUGACCAUAGAAACUGUGACAUCUGGUAAAAGUAAACAUUAGUGACACUUUGUUUCUUAACUUUCUCUUUCCUUCUGCGCGUUUGUGGUAUAUCGUAGAUUUGACUUAAUAUUGAGCGGAAUGUAACGAAACUAUUUCUCUGAGAAAUUGUUUACAUAAAACGUUAAUCAAUUUCAUACAUAUCAUCCGCCCAUAAUCACCUGCCACAAAAUAAAAGUUUCGAUAAAAUAAAACUACUGGCAACACUGCCCCUAUUGAAGCAUAUCGAAAGAACAUGAAGGAAAGAAAAGAAUGGAAAAAUAUUAUAUUCACAUGGUAUCAUCAGUUUACAUAUUUUGCGUUAAAAUAUGAAUACAUUUAAUUAUCAAAACGUGCCAGGUUAAGACGGAGUUUAUUGUAACAUUCUGGUUUUAUUGUAAUAUUUAUCAUUGUAUUCUAUUAAUAUUGCAUUGUACACAUCGAUCACUAUGUACAGAGAAUAUUCUGCCAAUAAAGUGUUGAAUGGUUACCAAAAAACACCAAA